CCAGGACAGGCUCCAAAGCCACAGAGAAACCCUGUCUCGAAAAACCAAAAAAAAAAAAAAAAAUUCUCUUUAUUCCUAAAAUGAUAAUGGUCUUCAUAUAAAUGUAUAGAUUUACAGCGGGGCUUCUGGAACAGCAUUACUUUGAUACCAGGCACCAGAUCGCGCCUUGUUAUAAGACACAGUGCUGUGCGCCUGCCCUUGUCCACUCGGUGCUAGGCACACGCUGCUCUCUGGUUGUAGUAGAAUGUAUGGAAAGACAUCUCUGCUUAUUUUAUGACUUAUUUCGAUUUCAUGUGCAUUGGUGUUUUGCCUGCAUGUGCGUCUGUGUGAGAGCGACGGAUCCCCUGAAAAAGGUGUUACAGACAGUUGUGAGCUACCAUGAGGGUGCUGGGAAUUGAACAUGGGUCCUCUGGAAAAGCAGUCAGUGCUCUUAACCACCAAGCCACCUCCCCAGCCUCCACUUCUGUUCUUAUUUAACGUGACAGAAUCAUGAGACACCAGAGAGUUGGACAAUAAACCCCACAUAGUGGGCUGCUGUCCUAUUGGCAGAGGUAUUAAUAUAAUUAGAUGGAGGGGUAGCCUGAUCUACUGGAACUGGAAUCUAGACCCUUACAUCACAUUCAAAUUUAAAUUGAGCUAUGAAGCUCAAAUGAUCUAAACUAUAUAAUACAUAGAAAAUUAGGAGGGAGUCUUAGCGACCUUCAAUUAGCCCAAAGUUUCUUAUACAUCACAAAACUUAUCAAUUGAACUAUAUCAGUUUUUGGUCAGGGGAGGGAGUGGGGGAGGGAGAAGGAAGAGAGGGAAGGAAUGAAGGAGUGAGGGGUGGGAGAGAGGAAGAAAGUGUAGAUAUUCCAGCAGUACACACACAUAAGGACAUCAGAUGCGAACGUUACGUACAAAAUAUAUCUGUUUAAAGGACUUCAGCCAGAACCUAUUUUAAAAGUCUCUUACAACUUAACUAAGAAGAUAGAAAAUUCAAUGUCAGCUUGGGCCACAAAGCAAGAACCUAUCUCAACAAAAGUUUGAAGUUAUCUACAAAGUCCUGUAAACUGCUGCACCCCUUAGAAGUCGCCUGGGGGGAUGCUGACGUGAAGAUCAGCCCGUGCAAAAUGCAGAGCCAGCCGCUUUCAGCGGCAGAAAUCGUCUCAAAAGGACCCAACUCUGGAUGCAUUGUUAUUUUAUGAAAAUGUUCGCCAAAGUGGAGAUCUCUUUCAGAACCAAAUGAUUCUUAAAUGUGCCGUGCCAAUGAGGAAACUCGAAUGAGAAGAAGGCUCCAGGCGUCAUCAAAACCUGAGACGUUUGCUGUUGUCUCUGUGCCCAAGUGAAACAGGCUUUCUGAACGGAUCUGGGGAAACGUAGAAACCAACCUUAGUACUGACUGCAGUGAUUUUCUCAUUCCUCUGCAGUGAAACAGAAUCUUUGCCAUGGCUGUAAAACACUGCUUUUGUAGAACAGAGGACACCUGAAAGUUCUCGCUCUGGGCUUCUGCACUCGGCCCCGACAAUCAACCCACAGACCAAACCCACACUGCAUUGGUCAAGUGAGCGUCUGAGUCAUCAGGCCGUACAGACUGACUGGCUUCAGCCUGCCUUUGAGUGGUCUCUGAGCGGCCUGAAAGAACUCUCUGCUCAGCUUCAGCGCUUCCUUUGCUCCCGCCUGUUCAUGGCCUUACAAAAACCCAGCUGUGCUGCCAGGCCCAAGGCUGCUCCUAUUGCACGAGAUGCUACCCAUUCCUAGAGCUCAAACAAAAACCUGUUGGAUUAUGUAACUAAUUUGUUGAAAUGCUGCCUUUCACUAAUUAGAACUCAAGGGUACUUCACUCCCACAAGACACUCGGCUUUUGAGUACAGGUGUUUGCUGGCGUCGAGCCAGCCAGUCUGGCCUGCCUACACCAGAGAAAACGGGACUCACUCUAAUUUACCAGGCUGUGCUCAGGAAGCAGACAGAAUCAACCCUCCCGCAUAAACAUCACAAUGCCAUGAGAAUUCAAGGUUAAUUCAAAGAACUCUCUUAAUGUAGACAUCAUGGCUUCUCUUGGAAACACUGUAGGGUAUCAAGACAGUUUAUCAUUCAAUCCCAGGUAAUAGUAGGACAUAGGAAAUACCAACCACUUCCCUUGCUGUUCAACAGCGAUGCAGCCAGGAGACCCCUAAGAGGAGUGCAGGUGAAUGUCUGGGCAGUGGCUCUCAUCUACUGGGCAGUGGCUCUCAUCUACUGGGCAGCCUCCUUGUAGCCUGUCCCAGGCCAGCCUCUUCCAAAGACCAGAAGACAAGUACUGUACCAGACUUGAGCUCAUCAGCAGGCGUUUACCAAGUUCUUUUCUUCAGAUCACAAUGUCAGGUCUUUUUUAAAGGAAACAUUCUGAAGGGGAAAUUGAGGCCCCUUGUGCGUCAAUCCUACAUAUUGUCAUAAAAAAGCUAAUGAUAUUCAAUUUAUAUGCCCUUCUAAAGCUUCAGUGUGGACAUUUAUCUAAUUUCAGAAUAUCGCCAUCCUCCAAACAAGCCUGUGCCCGUUAGCAGAUGGUCUUCACUCUCCUGCACGCGUGCCAGGCCAACAUCCUUCUCCAUGGCAUUGCCUACUCUAUCAUGUCUUUCCCCCCUUUAAGACUGGCUCUUCUCACCUACCAUGUUUUCAAGAUCACCCAUGGAGACUAUUCCAUUGUUUUAAUUAGCACACAAAGUAGUUAGCGUAAUUACAGCAUCUCGAUCCCGCCCCUGUAGUUCCUUUUCUUUGUCACAUCACAUGGUCUAUCUAUCACCCUCUUCCCCUUGCCCUCUCACGGUCCCCUUUCUAGUGCUAUCCAUUCAUCUGUGGAUAUGUGCAGUGUGUCUGGGCUGGCUCCGUUGACUUGUUGUAAUCGACACUGUGGUGGUUCCUGUGGUAGGAUAGAGUCCUUUGGGUAUGUAUCUAGGGUACGCACACAGCUCACAUGGUAGUUGUUUUCGCUUUUUAAAGGACCCUCUGUACACAUUUCCAUAAUGGCUGUGCUAGCUGACGCUCCCACCAAUAGUGAACACGGGUUCUUUUCUUGCUUCCCCACCACCUCACCAACACUUACUGCAGUUUGUUUUAUGAUGGGGUUUGAAGGAGGGGGGGGUGAGGAGCUCAAAGUAGCUUUACUUUCCAUCUCUCUGAAGGCUAAGGGUGUUUUUAAAGAAGACUUUGAAAUUUGUUACUAGCAUCUUAUAUACUUCAUUCCUUUCUGUUGACAAAUGCCACUGAACGCUGUAGGUACGUAUCUUGUCAUCAGUCAGUUGAUACCUGCGUUGCUUCUGCUUUUAUAGUUACUGUGCUAGUAUUUCCGUAUGGUUUUAGAGAAACAGUUGCUUCCCAUGCUCUUGAGUAUUCCUUGAUUCUUAGAUCACAUGCUAAUUCUAUAUUUCAGUGUUCAGGAGAAACUCAUCUUUUUCCUCAAGUCAGUGCAAUAAGAGUUCACAAUCCCACCCCAGUGUCCAAAGGUUCACUUCUGCAUGGCCUCAGCAACAAUGGUCCUUUUCCUCCUCCUCCUUCUUCCUUUUCAAUGCAGAAUCACACCCAGGGCUACACACGUGUGAAGUACUGUCACUGAGCUACAAACUCAGCUCUUGUCCUCCUCUGAUAGGAGCAGCGCUGGGAAGGAAGCAGGCUCUCUGCAGACUUGUUUACAUUAUAGUAUUAAUGAAUACUUUCCUUAGGCUAAUUCGACACUUAGAGACUAAAGAACAUUAGAGAAAUGUCCGCUUCAUUUACUUGGAAACUGGGUUUUUGUUUGUUUGUUUUCUUUUGGUUUUUUGAGGCAGGGUUUCUCUGUGUAAUAGCCCUGGCUGUUCUGGAACUAGCUCUAGCAGACCAGGCUGGCCUUGAACUCAUAAAAAACCACCUGCCUCUGCCUCUCGAGAGUCGGGAUUAAAGGUUUACGCCACCACCACCUGGCAGAAACUAGGUUAUUAAGAUCUAAGAGUCCCUGGGCUGGCAACAGGGCUCAGUGAGUAGAGGCGCUCUUGAUAAAAGCCCGAUGACCUGAGUUUAAUCUCUGGGACCCACGUACUCUCCCCGGGUAUACUCCGACCCCCACGUAUAUGCCACAGCAUGCAUACCCUCCCCACACAUAUACAUCGUGCACACAUAAAACAAUAUUUUAAGGAUCUAAGAGUCUUUUCUAUUUUCUGGGUCUAUUAUGUUUGUUCAAAGCUUGCUGACUUAUUACACUUUUUAAAACCACAUAUUUAUGAUUUUUUUUGCACAUAAGCAUUUUUAUUUUUAUUGAGCUAUAUCUUUUUCUCUACUCUCCUCCCUUCCUCACUCCUCCCAUGGUCCCCAUGCUCCCUAUUUACUCAGGAAAUCUUGUCUUUUUCUACUUCCCACAUAGAUUAGAACCAUGAUUAUCUUUUAGGGUCCUCUUAGUUGUCUAGGUUCUCUGGGAUUGUGAAUUGUAGGCUAGUUUUUCUUUGCUUUAUAUCUAACAUCCACAUUGAGUGAGUACAUAUGAUAUUUGUCUUUCUGGGUCUGGGUUACCUCACUCAAUGUUUUCUAGAUCCAUCCAUUUGCCUGCAAAUUUCAAGAUGUCAUUAUUAUUAUUAUUUUUUCUAUGUAGUACCCCAUUGUAUAAAUGUUUAUCACAUCUUCUUUAUCCAUUCUUUGUUCACAUUUAGGUUGUUUCCAGGUUCUGGCUAUGACAAACAAUGCUGUUAUGAACAUAGUUGAGCACAUGUCCUUGUGGCACGAUUGAGCAUCCUUUGUGAAUAUCCAAAAGUGGUAUUGCUAAGUCUUGAGGUAGAUAGAUUCCUAAUUUUCUGAGAAAUCGCCAUACUGACUUCCAAAGCAGCUGCACCAGUUUGCAUUCCCACCAGCAAUGCAGGAGUGUUGUCCUUACUUUAUAUCCUCUCCAGCAUAAGUUGUCAUCAGUGUUUUUGAUCUUGGCCAUUCUGACAGGUAUAGAAUGGAAUCUCAUAGUUGUUUUGAUUUGCAUUUCUCUGAUGGCUAAGGAUGUUGAACAUUUCCUUGAGUGUCUUUCAGUCAUUUUAGAUUCAUCUGUUGGGAGUUCUCUGGUUUAGGUCUGUAUCCCACUUUUUUAUUGGAUUAUUUGUUCUUUUGAUGACCAAUUUCUUAAGUUCUUUGUAUAUUUUAAACAUCAGUCCCCUGUCCAAUGUGGGUCGGUGAAGUUCUUCUCCCAUUCUGUUGGCUGCUGUUUUGUCUUAUUGACCGUGCCCUUUGCUUUACAGUAGCUUCUUACGCUAGCUUCUAAUGUUACAUUUCAUUAAUUUUCCAAGUAUGUCCAAAUUCAGAUACAUAUUUUAUACAUCAGAAUUUUACCAUAAAUUUGAAACAGCACAUAAAAGACUAAAGCCGUGGUAGCUUUCUCAAAUACCUUUCUAAGGUGUAGGUGAAGAGACUUGCACAGAUAUGUAGUUUAUCUACAUGCUGACUUGAAACGUGUAGGGAAUGUGGUUUACACACUGACUGGUUACCAACACUAAGACACUACUAAUGGAAAAGUAGAAGGUGGUGAUAUUUAAAAAUUCCUUACCCUGAAAUAACUACCAGCUAAAUAAUUUGCUUCAAAAUAAAUCAAGGUCCAAACAUAGGUGGCAUGCCCAUGUUAGGACUGCCCAUGACCCAAACAUGUUGAAAUGGACUUGUUACACUCUCUGUUUUCGGAAAAUUUUCAUUAAAAAUUUAAAAGCCACAGCUGCAUAGAAAAGCUCAUUAGUAGUAGUGGCACAGAACUCAGGGCCUCACGCGCUAGACAAGGACUGUCUACAGGCUAAGCUUCGUCCCCACUGCUACACUGUCCUUCAACCUGUAACCAGGGACCACUUUAGGCCGAAGCAAACUUUUGUGGCUGCACUGGCAGCUGAAACAAAAUGAUAACUAAAUCUUUAAGAAUUUAACAAAAAAGGGCUGGAGAGAUGGCUCAGAGGUUAAGAGCACUGGCUGCUCUUCCAGAGGUCCUGAGUUCAAUUCCCAGCAACCACAUGGUGACUCACAACCAUCUGUACUGAGAUCUGGAGCCCUCCUCUGGUGUGCGGGCAUACAUCGAGGAAGAAUGUUGUAUACAUAAUAAAUCAAUCUUAAAAAAAAAAAAGAAUUUAACAAAAAUCUGUUACCUCAAAAGUAAAAGAUCCGAAAACCUUAAUGAUUGCAGUACUUAUGUCUUUUUAAUGUCCCUCACCAGUCAGAGACUCCUUACACCCGUCAGCCACAGCGGUAGCCACCAGCACCAACCCUCACUGAACUCAUCUCCCCAAACACUGCCCUCCCUGCACUGGCUUCAGAUAACACCUGCUUCGCGGAGGAGGAGCAUAGCCCAGACAAUUCUAGGGCAAUUUCCGGGCCAUCUGAAGUCACCCGGAUAGCACAUCUUGUAGAUAAGAAUGCUCAUUUGAAAAAUAUACCCCCGUAUGGGCAUGUGUGGACCGACGAGGACGUGCAGAAACAGCAAUAUUUGUGCAGUGUAGAACAAUUCCAAGGCUAAAAGUGUGAGGGGUGAAAAUGGAUCCACACAAGGACAACAGAGGGCCAUCUACAGUAUCAUCACUCUUUAAACAGUAGACACAUUAUACGUCUACCACAAACGAGUACAAAGAUGGAGGCCACUCUGUUCCACAGUGGAAGCCUGCAGCAGUCUGAGGAGCGAACCACGCACAUGGUCCGGAAGCAGCACCCCACAAGGACGAUGCCGAGGCCUACAACCCACAAGUGACUGAGUUUUACAACGUGUGGAUCAUGCGUUGACGGAGCCAUUUCUGGUGUCGGCACCACUGGCUGAAGAGCUGAGAAGAGAAAAGCGUGGGAAGAUCGUCACAGUUCUGGCUGGCCAUGAAUUCUAAGGACCGCAGCAAACACGCACAGUUGCUUGAAAGCAUGCAGCCUGUAAAGGGCCAGCCUCUACGUCCUUCAUGGUGUUGGUUACCGUCCGCUGAGCCACGGGGCAGCCGAGGGACUCUGCGCCAGCCUUCACAACAGCACAGCGACUCCCGCGGCCAUUUUCCUCUACUGUGCCGCUCUAAAAUUCAUCCCCAAUCAUUAUCGCUAUUUUCUUUUGAAAAAUGUCUUGUUUAAUAUCACCCAAUUUUUUCACUAGACAAAAAGCUUUGAGUAUUUCAUAAACCAAAACAAAAUUUUAAUAUCUAUAUAGAAAAUGCCUUUAAAUGCAAACAUACUUUCUCUAUGUAAAGCAAUUGUUCUUCCUUCCUCUAUGUGGGCUAAUUAGGCUGUUCCGUGUUUGCCUCAAAUACUUGCUUCAAAUCAAACUUCGUUUUCACCAGUUUGGUUCAAAACUCUUCUAUUUCCUUGAACUGGACAGAUUCUUUCUUCCAGAGGCUGCUUUCCUUUAGUCUCACGUCUUUCCCCUGGUUGGCAGCUUUGUCAAAGAGGUAGAGAUAUUUUUCCCUACAGCCAACCGAGAACACAUCAUAGGGACAGGGUGUCAGGAGGCCCUGGGGUCCUUCUCCAGCACUGCAUACCAGACAUGGGGGUUGAUGCCUGUGAUCCCAGCACUACGGAGGCUCAGGAGUUCAAGAUCAUCCUCAGUUACACAGUAGGUUCAAGGCCUGUCUGGAUUACAUGAAACCAACUCAAAAGCAAAAUCAAAACAUUUUAAAACACACAUAGUAAAACCAACCAAAAGCUGGAGGGACGGCCGGGCAGUUAAGAGCACUGGUUGCUCUUCCCUAGAAUCUGAGCGCCAUUCGUGGAUGCUAUGUGGUGGCUCAUAAGCACCUGACUGCAAUCUCACGGGGUCCAACACUCUCUUCUGCCUUCUUGCAUAUGGCACACAUAAAAGAAAAACACCACAUACAAAAAAUAAAAGGGGGGAAGAAAAACAACCCAAACUAGGCAUGGGACCACCUGCCUUUACUCCCAGCGUGUGGGAAGCUGAGAGGCAGAAUUAAAAGUUUGUGGCAACACUGGGCUAUAGCAGUGACCCAUUUCCAAAAACACAAAGCUGAAACAAAGUUAAAAAAUCCAAUCCUAACAAAUCUCAUACGAAGCACUUAUAAAAGAGAAAAGCAGCAGGUGGGCAGACACCUUUAUCCCAGCAGUCAGGAUGCUGAGGCAGGUGGAUCUCUGAGUUCCUGGGCAGCCUGGUCUACACAGGGAGACCCAGACUCAGAACAGAACCCAUACUAACAGCAUAAGCAACAACAACAACAACAACAACAAAAGAUAAAGUUAAGUGUAAAUCUCUGAAUUAAGCAGGGACACCUGUAUCUGAUGGCUCAAACACCGUACAUUAUCGCAUACAAAGCAAGGUCUAAGUAUGCAACUACUUGGUGAUCUUGGAACAGUAUCACUGCAAAAACUCAAAGUAACUAAUACAACUUGCUUGUGAAUGAAGAGAAACCAUACACUUAAACAGAUAUUAGAAAUCUUGGGAUCAGAGAGUAGGGGUAGAGCUCAGGAGUUGGUACAGGACUUGCCUAACACACACAAUGCCCAGCUUUGAUCCCCAGCCCCAAAUAAACCUGGUGUGAGGUACACACUUGUAAUCCCAGCACCCAGGAGAUGGGUGCUGAUGACCGGAAGUUCAAGGAUCUCCUUGGCUACAUAGUGAUUUUGAGAAAAGCCAAGAGUACCUGAGACCCCCCCAUGUCAAAACAGUAACAAAAGCAAAAAUGAAUAACUACAAAGUAAUUCUCUUUAAAUCAACCUAGAUAAAACCAUUACCUUUUAGGUGGUGAUGAAGGCUGUGGUUUUUUCCCACCAUAAUUUACUUAUUUAUGAGAUUUUUUUAAAUUACCCUGGGGCUGGAGAGAUUAAAGCACGCUUACUGGUCCUGUCAGUUCUCAGCAGUCAUAUUCGUUGGCUUCCCCACUGCCUGCAACUCCAUCUCCUAAGGAUCCGAUGCCUUCUUUUGGCCUCAACCAGCACCUGCACCCAUGAGUACAUUCCCCACAGUCACAUAAUUAAAAAUGAAAAAAAAAAAUCAACCAAAGAGAAGUCAAGACCUGCACUAGCACCAACUACUGAGCCCAGGGCACAGCUAUCAGAGCUGGUCUGCAGGAAAUGCGUUUCCAGACAGAUAAUGCAGAGGAUGCCAAGAGCGCUGGGAGAGAACCACUUGUUCUGCCCGCCUGCAUCUGCCUCCAAAGUGUGGGACAAACUGAGGAUGUUAACCACGUUGAAUCAAUGGAAACCAGAAAUUAACUCCACUAAAGUCCUAAGAAAUAAAAAUUAUUGCUAUGAUGAUAAAAAUUGAAGCAAUAAAAGGGUUGGAAAUACACUCAAGUUUAUAAUUAAUUAAAUGAUGAGCCAUAAUUUGACCCUGUUCAUCAUCUGUUAUAUAAAAACCACAAUUCAGUUAUUUAUAUGAUAAAUAGUUCACAUUUAAAAACAUUUAUCAUUACAUUAUCAAAUUUGAUAAACUCUUAUCAAAACAUCUCAGCAUCCAAUAUAAACCAUAUUAUUUAAAGUUUAAGGUAACAAUAACACUAAAAAAAAAAAAAAAAACACCCUGGAGGGGUCCAAAUAAA